UUACUUCUAAGACUUUACCACUGUUUAAUUUUGCUACGUCUGGGGGAGUGUAAUGAUUUAGUUGGAGCCGCUUGUGAGUCAGCACACGAGUGAAUAAUGUUAAUGACAUGAGCCGGAUGCCCAACUGCUGGUUGACUGUACCCACACAUAUCAGCAGCCAUAUAAAAGCAAGACUUACAGAAAGGCGCAUUUAUCGUAUUGCUACCGUCGGAGCACAUUGAUACAGGUUUUCUUUUUCUUUAACGUGUGCAACAACAGAACGCUGAACGAGCUGAUACAGCAGACUCAGAAAUGGCAGUUCUCCAGUCUGUACUUUGUGGUGUCCUCACGCUGACUCUAGUAACAUCGAAACCAAUCUGUCUUAGCGAGGGUGGGGAUUCAGCCGUGUCGUCGGAGUCUAACGAGUCCAUUUCAUCAGAGGAGACGGCCCCUAAUGUUGAGCCUUCACAGCAUCCACCAGUGCUUCCAGAGACGAGCAUGCCUAAUGCUCUGGAGGAACCAGACCCCCCGGGAGCCACGGCUGCACUUCCUCAUCCAGAUUUGGGGCCUUCUCCAUCUACACUCAAUACUUCUAACCCUGAGGAGACACAAACCUCUGCUGAUGAUUUACAGCUUGUGCCAGAUGUGCCUUCACAAACUCCUGUGGGUGUGGGCAUUACUCAGGGCAUGCCUAAUUAUGAUCCUGCAAAUAACGCCGACCCUGUGCAGGUUCGACCAGAUGCAGAGGUCACGCUGCGCUUAGGGCUCACGGCCACAGACAAAAGCAUGGGCACCUGUGGCACAAAUGCGCCACAUAUCGCCAGCGCAUACCAAGAAUUCCCCAAGGGAGUCACUCCACCCUUUCCUCCACAUAUCAUCAGCCCAACAACGCCGUUCUCCACAGCCGCUCCCAUGCCAAUCCCCUUCAGCACUGCUCUGACUGGGGUUCCUGUUUGUUUCACUUUCCAACUGUCAACUCCUGAGCCAGAUCCACCCCGAGGAGACAGCUAAUGCAGACUGUGCUUAGGGCCACUCCUGCUCCAGUUUUCUUGUUUAUACUGUGUAACAGUGUUUAUUACAUUUACCAAUGUUUAACAAAAACAAACUUUACUUUACUUCACAUUGUGUAAUAAUGGUGCAGGUACUGUAACUGCUACUGUAUAUGCAGGCAAUACUUGUAUAAUGUGCUGUAGUUGAUUCACGUAGUUGACACGUUAAGCCGAAUAACCCCUUGUUAUUAAAGGCUAUGACUAAUCAAAUGAACACAAUACACAAAUGUGUGGUAAUUGUCAGAUUUAUUCUUUAUUCGAAUUUCAUAUUUUGUAAAAUAGUCACACCUGGCCUGAAAACAAUAAAGACAAAACACACGUGACA
rnacentral:lncRNA from 1 species